CACAAUAAUGGAAAGUAACUUCCUGCCCAGUGAAAUUUAAACGGCCGCGGUUUAUCCGUGCAAAGGUAGCAUAAUCAUUUGUCCUUUAAUUAAGGGCUAGAAUGAAUGGAUUUACAAAAAAUAACUUUCUUUACUUUAACAAUAAAAACUAAUAUAUGAAUGAAAAAGUUCAUAUUUCUUAAAAAGACCAAAAGACCCUAGCGAGCUUAAAUAUCUCUUUCCAUAAAAUAGGAUAUUUUUAAUUGGGGCGAUUAAAGAUAUAUUUCAUCUUUUUAUAAAAUAAAUUAUAAUCACACCUAAUUUAAAUCUAAAAAAGUUACCGUAGGGAUAACAGGCUACUCAAUUUUUAAAGCUCAUAUUAACAAAUUGUCUUAGCACCUCGAUGUUGGCUUAAGGGUACUCUAAAAUGCAACAGUUUUAUAAAGUAGGCUUGUUCCGCCUUUCAUACCUUACGUGAUCU
rnacentral:rRNA from 1 species